GAACCGGCCAAAAUUUACUUCGUGUAUGACGCUGGGGACGCGAGCGGCGGAGGGUGAGUAACACGUGGGGAACCUGCCCCAUAUCCUGGGAUACCACUUGGAAACAGGUGCUAAUACCGGAUAAGAAAGCAGAUCGCAGGAUCAGCUUAUAAAAGGCGGCGUAAGCUGUCGCUAUGGGAUGGCCCCGCGGUGCAUUAGCUACUUGGUAAGGUAACGGCUUACCAAGGCAAUGAUGCAUAGCCGAGUUGAGAGACUGAUCGGCCACAUUGGGACUGAGACACGGCCCAAACUCCUACGGGAGGCAGCAGUAGGGAAUCUUCCACAAUGGACGCAAGUCUGAUGGAGCAACGCCGCGUGAGUGAAGAAGGUUUUCGGAUCGUAAAGCUCUGUUGUUGGUGAAGAAGGAUAGAGGUAGUAACUGGCCUUUAUUUGACGGUAAUCAACCAGAAAGUCACGGCUAACUACGUGCCAGCAGCCGCGGUAAUACGUAGGUGGCAAGCGUUGUCCGGAUUUAUUGGGCGUAAAGCGAGCGCAGGCGGAAGAAUAAGUCUGAUGUGAAAGCCCUCGGCUUAACCGAGGAACUGCAUCGGAAACUGUUUUUCUUGAGUGCAGAAGAGGAGAGUGGAAUUCCAUGUGUAGCGGUGGAAUGCGUAGAUAUAUGGAAGAACACCAGUGGCGAAGGCGACUCUCUGGUCUGCAACUGACGCUGAUGCUCGAAAGCAUGGGUAGCGAACAGGAUUAGAUACCCUGGUAGUCCAUGCCGUAACGAUGAGUGCUAAGUGUUGGGAGGUUUCCGCCUCUCAGUGCUGCAGCUAACGCAUUAGCACUCCGCCUGGGGAGUACGACCGACAGGGUUGAUACUCAAUACGAGUGACGGCGGCCCGCACAAGCAGUGGAGCAUGCUGGGUUUAAUUACGUAGGCCAACGCCCGCGACAUA
rnacentral:rRNA from 1 species